rnacentral:rRNA from 1 species
CCUACGGGCGGCAGCAGUGAGGAAUAUUGGGCAAUGGGCGCGAGUCUGAACCAGCCAAGUAGCGUGAAGGAUGACUGCCCUACGGGUUGUAAACUUCUUUUAUAAAGGAAUAAAGUGAGGCACGUGUGCCUUUUUGUAUGUACGUUAUGAAUAAGGAUCGGCUAACUCCGUGCCAGCAGCCGCGGUAAUACGGAGGAUCCGAGCGUUAUCCGGAUUUAUUGGGUGUAAAGGGAGCGUAGGUGGGUUGUUAAGUCAGUUGUGAAAGUUUGCGGCUCAACCGUAAAAUUGCAAUUGAUACUGGCAGUCUAGAGUACAGUUGAGGGAGGCGGAAUUCGUGGUGUAGCGGUGAAAUGCUUAGAUAUCACGAAGAACUCCGAUUGCGAAGGCAGCUUACUAAACUGCCACUGACAUUGAUGCUCGAAAGUGUGGGUAUCAAACAGGAUUAGAUACCCCAGUAGUC